CCUACGGGGGGCUGCAGUGGGGAAUAUUGGACAAUGGGGGGAACCCUGAUCCAGCCAUGCCGCGUGUGUGAAGAAGGCCCUCGGGUUGUAAAGCACUUUCAGUGAGGAAGAACGCCUGGUGGUUAAUACCCAUCAGGAAAGACAUCACUCACAGAAGAAGCACCGGCUAACUCCGUGCCAGCAGCCGCGGUAAUACGGAGGGUGCGAGCGUUAAUCGGAAUUACUGGGCGUAAAGCGCGCGUAGGUGGCUUGAUAAGCCGGUUGUGAAAGCCCCGGGCUCAACCUGGGAACGGCAUCCGGAACUGUCAAGCUAGAGUGGAGGAGAGGAAGGUAGAAUUCCCGGUGUAGCGGUGAAAUGCGUAGAGAUCGGGAGGAAUACCAGUGGCGAAGGCGGCCUUCGGGACUGACACUGACACUGAGGUGCGAAAGCGUGGGUAGCAAACAGGAUUAAUACCCCUGUAGUC
rnacentral:rRNA from 1 species